UAAAAAAACAAUAAACAAUUUCCCUAAAUUGUCCGAUAUCGUUUAAUCGAAUACUCGUCUAUCUAACCAUUUCCCUGAAAUCGAUUGGUGUGGGAAAAAUUGAAAUCAACAGCAAAUCGAAAGUGAAGAUUGAAGAUGCUUGAUAUCAUCGAUAUCAUUGAAUCAUAUUCGUUUCUCUAAGCCUUUCCUUGAAAUCGGUGUGGGAAACAUCAAAAUCAACAAGAAAUCGACAAUGAAGAUUGAAGAUGUAUGAUAUCAUCGAACGUAUGUGAUGCUUGGAGGUAAAGAAAAAAAAAACUCUAAUCAUUCAAUUAGAAAUGGAGAAAAAGGGAAUCGUUUCAAAUUCGGUCAUCUAAACCACAAUCAUUGAUGCAGACACAAAUCAAACCACAUUGAAGAAGCUGUAGGUCUAUUUGCAGAAAUGAAGUCCAAAGGUAUCACUUGAGAAGAAGCUCUACAUCUCUGUGCAACUGCCAUUGGAGGCGACCUAACUUUUUCCGAUAUUACCCUUUUGGAAGCAACAGGUCUUCUCUGAACUGAUAAGACCUUAGCUUUAGGGGAAGCUUUAAAUGUCACAGGUGACAAUUUAGCUUCUGAUACUGACAAAGACGCCAUGUCAUUAUCAGGUGUCUUUAUUGGUGACGUGGCAGUUUCAGGUAUUGCACAUGUGACCACAUUGACAGGUGGCUGUUCUACAGUGUCACCAUUUACAUACAUGUUAUCUGUAUUAGGUUUUUGAGAUUCUUUUUUCUCAAAUUUCUCAACAAGAUUGCGAGUCUUUCCAUUUGAAACUGCAACACAUUUAACAGGUGUCAACCUUUUGUUGGAGGAAUCAAUGGAUACCUCAUGGUUAGAUGAAGAUUUUUGACACUCUUCUGAAACACUAGUGGAAUUAUGUGUUUUCUCCUCUGAAGAAUCAGAAUCAAUCGCCACAUCAUCAGUAAAAAGCCUUCUCUGGAUGUUUGUAUUUGAUCCAUCUUUUCUAGAAACAACAGGAGUCAUGCCUGCAGCUUUACUUCAAACAGUGAGUAUUACAGUAAAGAUAAAAUAGGUAAAAGAUUAAAAUAAUUGAGAUAAAAACUUACUGUCUACAUAUAUAUUCUUGAUAUCUUUUGUGUCAUCAUCUGAAGGUAUAAAUGACAUUCUUGGAGUCUUGACUCUCUCUAUAACACUUUCCUGGAGAUCAGUUUUUGGCUCCACAUGAGCUUUUUCCAUGGCUAUCAUGUUAUGUGCAUAUGGUUCAAUAUGCUUCACAAACAGAAAGGUCAUAAAAGAAGGAUUGUGGACCCACAUUGAUACAUAGAAGUUUCUAUAUGUAUACCUCAGGCCGAGUUGUUCCAAUCAAUUCAAAGGUUUCCAAAUCCCAAAAUUUCACAGUUCUAUCUGAUGAACCUGGAAUUAAGUUUAACACACACAUCAUCAACAAAAACAUUUUUAAAAAACAUGGAGAGAAAAUACUCAAAAUAGAAGCCAUUGUUGGAUGGAUACAAACCUGUUGCUAGAAGAAACUCGAUAGGGUGGAAAUCCAUUGAUUUAAUGUGUCCUUCAUGUAACUUGAACUCAUGCAAGAGUUUUCCAGCAGUUAAGUCCCAUAUCUUUACAACAUUAUCAAGUCCUCCAGACACCACCCAUCUUCCAUCAGGGGUAAAUCUGAUAGUACUAAUUGCUCGUUUAUGACCCUUAUAUGUAUGAAUGCAUCCUUUCUUUCGAAUAUCCCAUAUCUUCAAAUUCGUAUCCAUGGAUCCUGAUGCAAGAAA